CAUCCAGGCGGGGAGAAAACUGCAAAGGGCAUAACAAUAUAAGACUGGCAACUGGCAGGGCUCAAUCCCAGAUUCGUAAGUAGGCACUGUCCGGCAUUUUGCUCUGUAUCAGAUGCCCAGCAUUCUGCCAGCACAAAGCCGGUGUGCUGCAAGUACCUGCUGAACACAGAGCAUGUUGACUCUAUGCUCAGCACUAUGCAAGCCACGAUGGGCACACCGAGAUGGAGAUGACACGGAAUCCUGCCUCACAAGACCUCAAAGCCUACAUAUUCGUGAGAAAAGGACCCCUGAGCAGAAAUCGAGAGCUUCGGUCACUCAUUCCCUGAGCCCAUACAAACCUUUCUCGGAAACGACACAGAGGAGACGAGCUGGAAUUAUCCAGCACACAGGAAGAACGCAAACCCUGGAAAAGGAAGCUGGUGAGCUACACUCUGAUGGGCUGAGCUGGCUCACCCAAGUCCUUCAAGAAAGAGGGGAAGUGCACAAUCAGAAGCCAACGCCAAUACUCACGAUGGGAAGCCUGUGGGUGAGCAGGCGCAGGACACGCACGUCCUUGGAGGAAGGGCUGUUCUAAUCCUCUGCCCCACGAUGCAAGCUUAGCGUGACAGCAGCAGCUCAAGUCCUCAACACAGUGGACCUCCCUGUGGGGUUUUCAUUUGGUGUUUCUUUCUUUCUUGUUGGCACCCACCAAGCAUCUAGGAAGACGUCUCCAACCAGAGGGUGUCUUUGCCUGGCACCUACCCUUCCUAUACUUCCUACUCUCGCUGGAAGUACCUGCCUCCGCCUGGCCGGAGAGAUAAUCACCUGCCUGAAAUCAGACGCUUAACCCAUUACGACUCGCUCAAGGUCUGGAGCAAGAAAGCGUAUCAGGUGAAGCUGGCCUAUGGCUUGGAUGAAAACCCAAGCCCUGUAAACAGGCAAGCCCCGAGCAGGCAGGGACUCUUGAGAACCCCUGGAGGGGCUGCACGCAUCCUGGGGUUUUGUUUAACCAGACAGGCAGGGCACCGAGACCCAGGUCUCCUGUUUGUAGGUAGUCUCGGCAUUUCCACCGCUAGGAAAUUCAAGGAUAACGGCUUCUUACUUAAAAAAUGUAACUGUCUUCUCAUCCACCAUCACGGCGAGAAAAUGAAUUCUCCCACUGAUAAACUUCAGUGUGAAGUUAGCCUUCAAUAAACGAACAACGAACAGUUUCUUUUAAAGUUGAAAUGCGCAAUCUAACGAAAUUCAAUUAUUAAAUGCAUAUAAGAUAUUAGAUAUAUUUUAAUUUGCCUCUCUAAAAUAAUUCACACUAAGAGAAAAUAACUUAGCAACAUAACCCCUAUCAGGAAGGACAUUUUAUUCUUAACCAUGCGACUUCUGGGUUUUAUACAUUUUCUGAAAUUACAUACUCCCCCCCGGAUCUGUUUAAUCAGAACUUCACGGACACCACACUUCUGAUUUUGAUGUCAACGGAAUGCCGUAAGCAAAGAAAAGAGACUCUCCAUAUUGAACGUCUGGCUUAGCCAUUAACUGUGUGAGCUGGACAAGUCGUGUUUUGUCACCUAAAAGUCGGGCAGGGAGAUGGGACAGGUAGAAUCUAAAAGACGCCCUCCCUCCUCUAGCUCUCACAGGUCUUUGUUCCACCCUCUCAGCGCUCCCGAUCCGCCACUGAACACACCACUGAUGGGAGAAUGCAAAGCACAAGUAGGAACACACACUGGCUCCUUUUGCACAUGGAACCAGGAGACCCCGGAAGGUCAUGCCAGCUACCCACAAACCGAAGCAGCCCCGGUUUCUCAUCAGCUCACCCUCUGCCUCUGAACCAGCGCCGAGGUGGACGACACGCUGGGGACUCGCCACGGAGAACACACCACCUCUGCUGUGCCCGGAGACUCUCUCCACGGGCGGCCUCAGAAAACACCAGGGUGGUUCCAGCCAGACCAGUCAGUGCAAACUGGUCUUGCACUUGACAAACAGCAGGCAGUUCCUGCUGUCAGGGUCACCGCAGUGGGCUCAGAGUUCUGUUUGAGAAAUACUCCUGCCCAGAAAAAAUAUUUACACAACCGAGAGUGGGCUGCCGGCGUUCCACCUGCGCUGCCAGGAGCCUCUGGCUCCGAGUGACCGGGGGGUACAGUGGCCUUUGUACCUCCUUGAAGAUCAGCGUGGAGACAAAGCCUGGAGCCGAGUGACUGACAGGCUCACGCAUGAAAUGUAUUCUAUUAAUUUAAAAUGACAACCGCAUUUUCGUGCCAUUCAAUAAAGACUUUAAUAAGUAAA